rnacentral:rRNA from 1 species
UACGUAGGGUGCAAGCGUUGUCCGGAAUUAUUGGGCGUAAAGAGCUCGUAGGCGGUCUGUCGCGUCGGCUGUGAAAUCCCGAGGCUCAACCUCGGGUCUGCAGUCGAUACGGGCAGACUAGAGUGCGGUAGGGGAGACUGGAAUUCCUGGUGUAGCGGUGAAAUGCGCAGAUAUCAGGAGGAACACCGGUGGCGAAGGCGGGUCUCUGGGCCGUAACUGACGCUGAGGAGCGAAAGCGUGGGGAGCGAACAGG